GCAACUAAGCUCUUGGGGAUGGUUUCCAAUAGGAGCGUCGGUGGUGAACGUUAACUGAGCCUUAAGCACCCAGCGGGCAGAGGCCAAGCCCAUGCAGAGACGGGCUGGCAGGGACAGCCAUCUUGGUGAGGGGCUGGAGUGAAGCGGCCAUCCCGAGGAAGACAGGGUGCACGGAGAGCCCUCCGCAGGGCGGCCUUCCUUUGUCCUGCUCCAUCCACUGCGCUUUGCUCACACCCCUGCGCAGGGAGCGGACCCAGGCCGGCCACGGUGCUCCUCGGUCCCUGGGCACGUCCAGCGUGCGUGGCCUGUGAGGGGGUCCGAGGGUGGGGCCGUACCACUUGCGUUGUUCCCUACCUUCUACGUGGGCUGAGACGGGGGCAGAAAAGAACACCAUUUUAACAUCUGGUCACAAGGUCAACAACAACUACCCCCCAUGGGGCGCCUGACUGACGUGUGAGACCCUGCGCUAAGGGCUUUGCUUGCUGACCCCACUGAGUCCUUCCCUACGAAGAAAGCACUGUAGUUCCAUCUUGCGGAUGAGGAAACAGGCCCAGGGGCCAACCAGUAUCAGUGGGUCAAGUUUCCUGAGCACCUGAUGUGUACCCGAUACUGUCGUUCCGCUUCCUUCGUGUCCGUUAACCUUUGGACGCCCACCACAGUCCUGUGAGGAGAGGAACCCCUCUUGUGCCCACUGAGGAAACCGAGACCUGAGAGCAAAGGUUACCUGCUCAAGGUCACACAGCCAGGGAGGGGCGGCGCAGGCCUGCAAACCCAGGUGAGCUCACUGCGUCCCCUCCCGCCUCCCUUUUGGCAGGUGUAUAUCAGAAGUGAGAGGCCACGCGGUCCCAGAAGCCCAGAGAACUCCCUCCUGACCUGCAGAGAUGUGGGCUCUUCCCCUCCCUCCCGGAACCUUCUCCUUCGUCCACAAGUGGCAGUGCCUUUAAAGAGCUACGACCACACAGUUAACUGGGCGGAGGGGUGUCGGUAGGCGCCCUCUCCCACGGGGGCGCUAAGAGCCCGCAGAGAGCGAUGGGCCCCUCCCUGGUGGCUCUGCUUCCUGUGGCUGCAACGCCCUUCCUCCCCACUUCUCUCAUGUGGCCGAGAAGCCCGCAUCCUCCACGGCAGGUCGGGCCCCCUGCAGACAGCGGCACAGCGAGCUGUCUCCCUGGGACAGCAGCCACCAAGUUGCUGCUUCCCCAACGCUUAGCAAAGGGCCUCACACGCAGGAGAUGAUCUCAAGCAUAUCUGGCAAAAAGGGGGCGCCGAUGCACGCUGCAACACGGGGACCCUGAAAACGUGUGCCGAGGGAAGGGAGCCAGGCACGGGCGAGUCCGCGGGGUCUAUUUCCAUUCACGCCGGAAUGGCCAGAGUAGGGACAUCCACGGGGACAGAACAGAGAUGGGCGAGCGCUUCGGGCUGGGGUGUGGGGGCAGCGCUACCUAACAGGGAUGGGGUUUCCUUUUGAGGGGAUGAGAACAUUCCAAUGUUGGGGUCCUGGCUGCACAACUCUGUGAAUAAACGCCAAUGAACCAUACACUCUAAAUGGGCGAGCUGUUUGAUACGUGAACUCGGUCUUGGGGCGCCUGGGGGGCUCCGUCGGUUGAGCGUCCGACUUCGGCUCAGGUCAUGAUCUCGCGGUUCGUGGGUUCGAGCCCCGCGUCGGGCUCUGUGCUGAUGGCUCGGGGCCUGGAGCCUGCUUCGGAUUCUGUGUCUCCCUCUCUCUCUGUCCCUCCCCCGCUCACGCUCUCUCUCUCUCAAAACGAAAGAAACAUUAAAAAAAACAAAAAACGUGGUGUGUGAACUCCAGCUCAAUGUAGCUGAGGAAACAACACUGAAAUCCACUUGCCUGACUGGCUGGCACUCCGUAUGUGUUUGUUGAGGAUGCUGAGAAUCCCGAAUAAACCCAGUAACGUUGGGAUGUUGGAUGUUGCCGGUGACGUUAGCCAUGUUGAAGAAAGGAAGUCUCUGGUCCCUGAUGUCAGAGGCGGCCCCGCGUGCAGGGUUAACACUGAGCGCAGCUGCUGUGCUUCGCUGGGAGGGCGAGUAGGUGUGCGUGUCCCGGCCUGCCGAUCAGGAAACCCAGGCGUGCGAGGUCAGGCAACCGGCCGACCUCACUUAGCGAGACAAGUGGCAGCCAGUUAUGGCCAAGAAUAGCGCGGGGCUUCUGACUGCGUCUCGCUCGCUGCAAAUACCGCCGCCCGUCAUCUGAUUAAAAAGGGACCAUAAAAUAUGAAGCGGGGCAGCAGCACUCAGACCUAAGUUGGGCUCGGGCUGGCGGAGGAACGGAUCCCGUCUCUGCCUUCCAGUCCACCUGGCCCCACGUCGGUCGUGCGGGUUAGCCUCCCCGGACACAAGCGCGGAGACGGAGCUCAUUCGCUCAGAUGCGUUCUCUUUGCACUUAAUGAUUUUCAUCUUCCAGUGUCCGUGGGGCCGCUGCUGGCUGGUGUUCGGCACCACGCGGUGGGGUGGCCUCCGGCGCUGAGGUUUGCAGAAAAACGGCUACGGGCCGUCUGGCGGAACUGGAGUGCUGUGGCCAGGAGAGAAGAGACGGAGCGAGGGCAAAACACGGCUGUUUGAAACCCGCCCCGUUCUGCAGCGUCCCAGCUGAGUGACCUCCAGCAAGUCCCGCCGCCCUUUCUGAGGGCCACUUUCCUCCUCUAUCAAAGUUUCCCUUCUGUAUUCCGUGGGCUCCGCGGUGACAGGCACCUCUAGGGCCCCCCAGCCCUGAAGCGCUCGCUCUGGAUGUGCGUCUUUGCAGGACUUAGCCGCACGCUGAGGACUUGCGAGGGCCCUUUUGGAUAGUGUGUGUGCACGGUGCUUCGGUAUUUGCCUUAACGCAAUGGCCGGCCCCGGGCCCUGGCCAGGUGGGAAACAAUGUCUGUGGGGCCAGCCCGGCGGGACAGAAGAUGGCUGAGAGGCAAGUCGAGCCAGAGAAAGCCAAGCCGCCCUCAAGUCCUGCCUCCACCUCAAGCCUGCGGUCCCUCCUCACCACGGGGCACAGCCAGGGGCACUUUGGGCGGGGACCUGAGGCCCCAGGGCUGCAGACAGCGGAGGACGCGUCAAUAAGUACUCUCCACGACCACGGAUGGUCCUUAUUGCUGGAGGAGUGUGUCCACGCCAGGAAACGGGGACACCGGAGGGAUUGGGGACCCAGGUGAGAAGCCUGGGGUCUGUGCUCCCGACAGGGAGGAGGCCCAGGGACCAGACCCAAGCUAAGCCCAGUGUCCUUGGCCAGACCUGCCGUUUCUCCAGGGUCUUUCUAGCCCCGUGUUCAGAAAGGCCGGGAGGGACAGAGAGAAAGGGGUACAGGAGGGGCAGGGUGAGUCAGGGAGCAAGGUGAGCUGGGGCCCAGGCAUGCGGGGGGGUGGGGGGGCGGGCAGCCACAGCAGGCGUGCCCCCUUCGGGUGGGCACAGCGCCGGCUCCUGGCAGGAGGGCUCGCUCACGCUCAGCGAGCGCCUAUUUGCGGGACGCUGCCCCCAGCAGCUCAGGGCCACCCCCUAGCACAGUAAGAUCCCCUUCGUGGUGACCCAGCCCAGAACCAGAACUCCAGCUUCCUGACCCCUUGCCCAGGGCCCUUCCUCCUUUUUUAGUGCAAGAAAGACCUGAGUGCAGAGAAGGGCCGCUCCGUUAGGAGGCCAGGUCCUGUCCACGGCAUCAGGACGCCGUCACCCUGGCCCCCCGCCCACCCGCUCCCGGCCUGGCCCUUCCCCAGAGGUAGAGCUGGGACCCAUCGUCCCUCUCACUCGAGGCUCAGGCCUCCCCGGGCGACUGGGUCUCUACACACCAAGGGGCACAGGGGGAAGGUCCUAGGCCUGACACAGGGGUUCCCGGGCAUCGCGCAGGCAACCACAGUCCCGUUGUUCCGGGACAGCUGUGGGCCCGAUGUCGGGAGCGGGGCUGGAGAGAGAGUUUGGACGUGAAGCACCCCUUGGAUAAGUACCACGUGGAUAAAGGAGCAGAGCAAGGUGACCCACAUCCUCCCACGCUGUCACCGGGGCUCGUCCAAGUGGCUCAUCGGCUGCAGAAAUGAACGCUUUUUCUUUUCUGACGGUUUUCUGUGCUUGGGUAUUAUUAUUAGUUGGAAACCCAGGGCCCGGUGAAG